ACACAAACGUGUUCAUACAGGUGAGAAACCAUAUCAUUGUGAUAUCUGUGGUAAAUCAUUCUCUAGUAGUAGCCAUUUGACUAAACACAAGCGCCUUCAUACAGGGGACAAAUUAUAUCAUUGAGAUAUCUGUGGUUAAUAAUUCU
rnacentral:misc_RNA from 1 species